rnacentral:sRNA from 1 species
GCUCUAUCGACAUCCUAAGGGUUCUUCUGGCAGUGGAGGCUGGACCCCAGUGUGGUCUCAUCCAGAUAAUAUCUGUAAGAACUAUCUUGCUGAUGCAAGUAGUGGUGUUUGUGGAUAUAAUAGCAUAUGCAGUUUAAGAGAUGAUAAGAAACCAACUUGUCAGUGUCCAAAAUGGUACUCAUUGACUGACCCUAAGGAUCCCUACGAUUAUGAGCUUCAAAAACCCUUUAGUGAAGACCAAUGCAAACAAUCUUGUAUGGAAGAUUGUAUGUGUUCUGUUGCCAUUUUCAGGCUAGGUGACAGCUGCUGGAAGAAGAAGCUGCCACUUUCAAAUGGUAGAGUUGAUCCCACGCUUAAUGGUGGAAAGGUCUUCAUGAAAGUGAGGAAGGACAAUUUCUCCUUGAUUAGUCCUCCAACAAUCAUUGUGAAGAACAAUAGGAAUACUUUGACUUUGAUUUUGUCAGUGCUUUUGGGCAGUUCUGCUUUGCUCAAUCUCAUAUUGGUCUUUGCAAUCUGCUUGAGCACUUCCUACGUUUUCCAGUACAAGAAGAGGCUUAGAAGAGCUGGAAAAACUGACACUACUGUGGAGACCAACUUGCGUUGCUUCACUUAUGAGGAACUUGAAGAAGCCACUGAUGGCUUUGACAAAGUGCUAGGGAAGGGAGCUUUUGGCGUUGUGUAUGAAGGAGUCGUCAACAUAGGUUCUGUUACUCGUGUGGCUGUGAAACGAUUGAACACUUUUCUCUUGGAAGAGGUUCAGAAGGAAUUCAAGAAUGAACUGAAUGUCAUUGGCCUCACACACCACAAGAACUUGGUUCGUAUACUUGGAUUUUGUGAGACUGAAUCAGAAAGGAUACUUGUUUAUGAGUAUAUGAGCAAUGGC